rnacentral:rRNA from 1 species
UGUACCUACGGGGGGCAGCAGUAGGGAAUCUUCCACAAUGGACGAAAGUCUGAUGGAGCAACGCCGCGUGAGUGAAGAAGGGUUUCGGCUCGUAAAGCUCUGUUGGUAGGGAAGAAAGAUAGAGGUAGUAACUGGCCUUUAUUUGACGGUAAUUACUUAGAAAGUCACGGCUAAUUACGUGCCAGCAGCCGCGGUAAUACGUAGGGGGCAAGGGUUAUCCGGAUUUACUGGGUGUUAAGGGAGCGUAGACGGGAGUG